AAGGGGAGUGCAUAUGCUAAAGCUGCUAACUUAUAGCCCACCAAAGUUAAACUCUUUGGACCCCUUA